GACGAACGCUGGCGGCGUGCUUAACACAUGCAAGUCGAACGGAAAGGCCCUGCUUGCGUGGGGUGCUCGAGUGGCGAACGGGUGAGUAACACGUGAGUAACCUGCCCUAGACUUUGGGAUAACUUCAGGAAACUGGGGCUAAUACCGGAUAGGAGCUCCUGCUGCAUGGUGGGGGUGGGAAAGUUUAGGCGGGUGGGGAUGGACUCGCGGCUUAUCAGCUUGUUGGUGGGGUAGUGGCUUACCAAGGCUUUGACGGGUAGCCGGCCUGAGAGGGUGACCGGCCACAAUGGGACUGCGAUACGGCCCAGUCUCCUACGGGAGGCAGCAGUGGGGAAUAUUGCACAAUGGGCGGAAGCCUGAUGCAGCAACGCCGCGUGCGGGAUGACGGCCUUCGGGUUGUAAACCGCUUUCGCCUGUGACGAAGCGUGAGUGACGGUAAUGGGUAAAGAAGCACCGGCUAACUACGUG
rnacentral:rRNA from 1 species